rnacentral:rRNA from 1 species
GACGAACGCUGGCGGCGUGCUUAACACAUGCAAGUCGAACGGAAAGGCCAGUGCUUGCACUGGUGCUCGAGUGGCGAACGGGUGAGUAACACGUGGGUGAUCUGCCUUGCACUCUGGGAUAAGCUUGGGAAUCUGGGUCUAAUACCGGAUAGGAACCGUCUUUAGUGUGGUGGUUGGAAAGUUUUUUCGGUGCAAGAUGAGCUCGCGGCCUAUCAGCUUGUUGGUGGGGUAAUGGCCUACCAAGGCGUCGACGGGUAGCCGGCCUGAGAGGGUGUACGGCCACAUUGGGACUGAGAUACGGCCCAGACUCCUACGGGAGGCAGCAGUGGGGAAUAUUGCACAAUGGGCGGAAGCCUGAUGCAGCGACGCCGCGUGGGGGAUGACGGCCUUCGGGUUGUAAACUCCUUUCGACAGGGACGAAGCGUUAUGUGACGGUACCUGUAUAAGAAGCACCGGCUAACUACGUG